rnacentral:rRNA from 1 species
AGAGUUUGAUCCUGGCUCAGGAUGAACGCUAGCUACAGGUCUUAACACAUGCAAGUCGAGGGGAAACGAUAUUGGAAGCUUGCUUCCGAUAGGCGUCGACCGGCGUACGGGUGAGUAACGCGUAUCCAACCUGCCCACCACUUGGGGAUAACCUUGCGAAAGUAAGACUAAUACCCAAUGACAUCUCUAGAAGACAUCUGAAAGAGAUUAAAGAUUUAUCGGUGAUGGAUGGGGAUGCGUCUGAUUAGCUUGUUGGCGGGGUAACGGCCCACCAAGGCGACGAUCAGUAGGGGUUCUGAGAGGAAGGCCCCCCACCAUUGGAACUGAGACACGGUCCAAACUCCUACGGGAGGCAGCA